rnacentral:tRNA from 1 species
GAGGGCACCACUCAGUGGUAGAGCGUGUGCUUAGCAUGCACAAGAUCCUGGGUUCAAUCCCCAGCACCUUCA